AGAAUUUCAACUGCUUUUGAAGCACUAAUAAAAAGCAAGAUAAUUUGUCCUUGCAUCAGGAGGAAGCAAAAAAGCUUUCUGACUGAGUAAAGAAAGAAAUUCUAACUGCAACUAUAAGGGGGAAUUUUUUGAAAAAAAUCAUUUCAGCACUCCAGAUUCCUAGAUUUUUGAAUAUCUCCAAGAACAGAUACAAACUUAUUACAGGAUUUCAAUGAUGAAUAAAUAAUUUUCAAAGAACAAACUUCCAGAAUACAAAGGUCAAAACUGUACUUCG
rnacentral:misc_RNA from 1 species